CCUACGGGGGGCAGCAGUAAGGAAUAUUGGACAAUGCCCGCAAGGGUGAUCCAGCCAUGCCGCGUGCAGGAAGAAGGUCCUAUGGAUUGUAAACUGCUUUUACACCGGAGAAAACCCCCCUAUGCGUAGGGGGCUGAUAGUAUGGUGAGAAUAAGCAUCGGCUAACUUCGUGCCAGCAGCCGCGGUAAGACGAAGGAUGCAAGCGUUAUCCGGAUUCAUUGGGUUUAAAGGGAGCGUAGGCGGCUUUGUAAGUCAGUGGUGAAAUCUUUCAGCUUAACUGAAAAAUUGCCAUUGAUACUGUAGAGCUUGAGUACAGAUGCCGUUGGCGGAAUAUGACAUGUAGUGGUGAAAUACAUAGAGAUGUCAUAGAACACCGAUUGCGAAGGCAGCUGACGAAACUGUAACUGACGCUGAGGCUCGAAAGUGCGGGGAUCAAACAGGAUUAGAUACCCUAGUAGUC
rnacentral:rRNA from 1 species